AUUUACCAAUUUACCCUCUUAGCUUUUCUUCUCCAAUCCAACCUGCAUUCACCAGCCUAGAAAUCACUAACCCCUCUCUUCUUUCAGUAUCCUCCUCUCUCCUUUCAAGAAACCUGGACUCCGGCCUCCAUCGCGCCACCUCUUGUGGCCGACUUCUCCCGCCCCUCUCUUCUUUCAUUCUCCUCCUCUCUCUUCUUUCAAGAACCAUGAAAUCCAGCCUUCAUCGCGCCCUCUCUUGUGGCCGAGCAGAACAGAGGGAGAAAAAGAGGGAAGCAGCGGCGGUGGGAACUACGGUUGGAACUGGCGGUGGUGGCGUCGGCGAGGCAGAGGCGACAGGGGGAAAAAAAUCUCUCUCCUCUCAUUUGUUUUAGGUUUUAUUUUCCGUCGUUUUUAGCUGUCGAGCAUCUCCAUAAUGGUCUUCUCUCGAAUUAUGGCCAAGUUUGAGAAAACCUUCAUUCAAUCAUUUGCAAGUAUAGUUCGAUAUGCUGCAGCCUGCUAAUGCUGAGGAAGUGGGUUUCAUCAAGAUUCUCGAAGUGGUGAUUCAACCCAUUCUUUAGGAUCUGCUGAGUUAUUAAGAGCUCGGUAUUUCACAGCAGAUAAAAUGGAUUGCUGGGUUCGUAACUUGAAGCAGUCCUACUCAGAUAUUGUGUGGUUAGGUGCUGCAUGGACUUGUGGAAGCAGCUAAAACACUGCUCAUUAUGGUUUCUGUUGAGUCAAUGAAUAGCUGCAGGUUCAGUAUACAGAAACCUAAAUGAGUGAAUGGUUGCAGACUUGCAGUUCAGUCUGAUUUGCUGGUCUGGUUUCUUUCAGUUCAGUCUGAUUUGCUGCAUUACUCCAUAUUCUUGAAUUGGGAACUUGGGAAGUAAAUGCUAUAGUGUUUGAGUGCCUCGGCUAAUAAACUAGAUAAGCUCAAGACACAAGCAUCAGACUAUGCAGCUUUCAUCAUGAACGAGAUUCAUCCUCAACGCCUAGGAUAUUAAGACUUUAGGGAACUUGAAACAUUAUUUUCUCGGGGAAUGAAGACUAAAGUCAACAACGAAGCCCAUGUGGAGAUGAUUCCUGAUAAAUCAGUUUGGAAAGUGGUAUCUAGGACAGCAGAAUAUUUUUAGGUGUCUAACAUCAUGCCUUAUGCUAGUGAUUAUUUAUAAUCUAUUGAUUGUUCAUGGAUACGUCUUUCUCCUCUCUUACAAGCAGAGGCGUAUUAACAAGUGUUACAUGAAAUCAAUUUGUAUAUGGCUCGAGCUGAUAUCAAUAUCAUUCGAGUUGUAAUAAUGAAUGCAGACAUGGAUGUAUUUCGCCUUUUAGUACUGUUUUUUCUACUGAAACUAUCUAGGGACAGUGGUUAUUAUGAUAGUAUCAUGGAUUCAUGUUA